UCCCCGCUUGCCAACAGCUCUAAAAGCUUUGCUGUUAAGAUUUUGCAAAAUAAUAAAAAACCUUGGGUUUAGCUUAUUUGACUAAAGGAAGGUUAAUUUCACCUGAGGCUGAAACAUUAGGAAACUAAGAGAAGUGGUCAAAAAGAGGAAGGUCUCAAAUUGUUGCAAAAAUCCAGAGUAAUGGGGUCUGAAUCACUGAAGUUAUGCUGCAUUAAAAUGGUAUUCAAGAUUA